UACAGAGGAUGCAAGCGUUAUCCGGAAUGAUUGGGCGUAAAGCGUCUGUAGGUGGCUUUUUAAGUCCGCCGUCAAAUCCCAGGGCUCAACUCUGGACAGGCGGUGGAAACUACCAAGCUGGAGUACGGUAGGGGUAGAGGGAAUUUCCGGUGGAGCGGUGAAAUGCGUAGAGAUUGGAAAGAACACCGAUGGCGAAGGCACUUUACUGGGCUAUUACUAACACUGAGAGACGAAAGCUAGGGUAGCAAAUGGG
rnacentral:rRNA from 1 species